AUCCCUCCCUAAACAAACACAUUCUGCUUUUGGGUGGCCCUACCCAGAACCUGCAGCAAUGUCAUAACACUGGACACAGUGCGGCUUGGGGCAGUAUCAAGCCUUCAUUGCAUACAAACCUUAAUCUCUAAGCAUAGUUGUUCCCAAGGUCCACACGUGUGGAGGCGAGUACUGAAAUACCACACUCACACAUCUAUUCCAUGCGUACCUAGAAAUUACCUUCAACACUAAAAAAGGUUCCUUCUUUCAUUCCCUAUCCUGCUAACAGCCCACAUUGUAAUAUUUGAUUUAUGAAGAAGUUCUAAUUUAUUUGUGAACUCAGGAUGUUGCUUUACAGCAUUGCUCGUGUUCUCUCAUUUACUUAUUAUGCAUCACGGUUGGAAAUGCUAUCCACGUGCCGUGCAUCGAGGUGGAGAUUUGCUGGAUCUGUCUGUGGCUAUUUUUUUCCAUGUUUUUCUCACUCAAGCAAAGUCUGUUAGUGGAAACAUGGGCUGGGGGAUGGGGAGAGGACAGAUAAAGCAAGAGAAUAGGGAUUAGGGUCCAAUCCUCAAUGCACAGGGCUUAGUUCAAAAUCUAAGCUGUUUCUGUAGUAAGCAGCCAAAUGGGAAAGAUCCCUUCGUUUUGAAUUUGAUGAGAAUGGGCUUGGAAAUCCACGCCCACCGGCUUGCACGGAAGAGGACUCAGCCUCUUCCUAAUGGUUCAACAUUCAAUUCCUGAGGAAAGUGCUGAUAGUAUUAGUUCCCUACAUUUCCCUAAGACUCCCAUCCAACCCCUAGUGCUACUGAAGAGGGUUUGGGAAAGCAAUUGGAGUUCCUUAGCUUGGAUAUAUAUAGUACCUGUUUUUUUCCUCUGGAAAAACCAAAGUACUUUAGUGAGUCUUACAAUCUUAAGGCAUUUUGUCCCCUCACUGGGUCCCGAGAGGCAGGGAGGGGCUAGGCCUUGAGCUAGGAGCAAGGACAUGGGCCGCCAGGCCUGGUUGUUACUAGCUGUGCAACCUUGGGCGAGCCUCUUCGCUUUGCUGGGCCUCAGGUUCCCGAGUGGAAGACUGGGGGUCAGAACAGCUGCCCUUCUGGGAGAGCAUCAAGAGAAAGUGGUAUAAGUGAUGGGAAGUGCUUUGAAGAAAUUAAAGGUCUGUCUAGGAGCUGGGGGUAAUCAUUUACAGAUGAAGAAACUGAAGUCUAGUCAUUGACUGGCCCGAGUUCACAGAGUGGUUUUAUAGCAAAACAGGGACUUGAGUCCAGCUUAUUGGAUUCUUCCCAUCAGAUCAUAUUGCACCAGGUAUGUGUAGACAUGAACACAUACCAUUCCUCUAAGGUGUGUGUACAUACACGGAUGUGUGUGUACAGGAGGUACCUGACAUGGUGAAAGGCCAUAGGACAGAAAACCUGAGUUCUAAUUCCAGCUUUGCCAGUCGUCCCGUCCGUGAUAUAUUCCAUAGGACAGAAAACCUGAGUUCUAAUUCCAGCUUUGCCAGUCAUCCUGUCCGUGAUAUAUUCCAUAGGACAGAAAACCUGAGUUCUAAUUCCAGCUUUGCCAGUCGUCCCGUCCGUGAUAUAUUACCUAACUCCUCCAGAACUCAGUUUUCUAACCUAUAAAAUGAAGACAUUGUGCUAGAUGAUCUUUGUGGUUCCUUCAAGCUCUGGAUCUCUAAUUCCAUGAUUAGUAAUGUAUGUAUGUGUAUAUAAAUAUGCUUAUCUGUAGAAAUGGGCCCAUUUGAAAAGUGGAGACAAGGUCUGCCCAGGUGCAUUUAUUGUGCCAGAAACAGUGAAUUCCUAAAUAAGUUCAUAAAAUCUUGUUUUACAAUUCAAUGGUAGUGCUUAAUGUUACUGUCUGAAAUCCACUGUUUAACCAGAUGGAAGACUGGGGCCAUUCAAAACAUUAUUAGUUCACAAGUGUUUGCUGUUAAAAUGCUUCAAUAAAACUCAUUUGUUAAAGUCAGAAAUUCAACUCUUCUGUACUUGGGCAGGUCCCAGCAGCCCCUUGGCAGGCUAGUUUUGUGCAUGGGCCUUUGCAAGCUAUAUAAACGUUAGGUGUUGGCUUGAUUAUGAUAAAUAUGAGCAGGCUCCCUGGAGAACAGUCCAGAAAAAAAGAGUUAUAGUUCUCACAAACUGGUGACAUGAAUCCAUUAAGCUGUGUGGCAUUUUCCAGUGUAAAGACAUUGUUUGCUGGCUACGAUCUCUGACUUUUUGUGGCAUAUGAGGUGUAAAAUGUUGUCAAAAAAGAAUCUGGUGUUUAAAAAAAAAUCAAACUAUGGUGGCAUUAAAUGUUCACUUUUAUUCU
rnacentral:lncRNA from 1 species